AAAGAAAUUGAGCACAAAUAUCUGAACUUGAAUUAUCGAUUUGGAUUACUUUUGAAAUUGAUGCUUUCAUUAUCUUCGCUUUAUAUAAAUCUAUUUCUGUAUAUGGUUCUGAUGGAGGACCUUUGAUCUUAGAAAAUGCAUUUCUAUACCUCUGUUUGCUGAAUACGAAGAAAUGCCCAAAAAUUACAUGUGACAAGUGAGUCUGUAGCAACAAAAAGAUGAAGAAAUGAAAAUGAUAUGGUCAAAUAUAAUUGCAUUAUCACUUACUAUUUCUCUCAAAAUUUUGAAUCAGACAUAGAGAAAUCCCAUCAACUCGACAUAAUCACCCAUUUAUGGUGCACAACUCUUUGUAAGAUUAGUGUGUCUUCAUGUGAUAAUUGUCAAAUGGGUGAAUUUGAUAAUCUCCACAACCAACUAUACAAGGAUAUUAGAAACAAGUGGAAUUGGGUAUUUCAAAACAGGAAAGUCAUAUUUGCCGUUUUUGCUUUUUUGCUUAUUUGUUUCUGGAGUGAUGGCUGAAAACUUUAUCUAAACUAUCAUGUGUGUGUCUGAGUUUCUUAGCUGAAAUAUCAAUCAUCGAUUCACCUAGGAGAAGUGAUUUUUUUAUGAUUGAUGGGUGUUUUAAUAAAUAGUUGGCGGUGUACUUCAAUAAUGAAACUAAAAUAUAAGGACACUUAAGGAGCUUUUUACCACCAACUCUUUUGUUUCUUAUUUCUUGCAAAAUGAUUUUUUGUUAUUCCGUGUAAAUUAAAUAGAUAAUGUCCAUGAAUCUAUAGAAAAUUUUGAAAUAGUCUUCCAAACUAAUUAUUUUUGCUCCUCCGGGAGGUGUUUGAUGUGAAAAAGAAAGUUAAUGUAUGACUCAUGUUGGAUGACAUUAUUAAUGUUACAAACGAUUGUAAAACACUUCUAAUUUUAUGCAUUUAUAUUUAUUUUUCACAAUGAUAUAUCAAGUGAUCUUUUGCUAUGUUCUUUUUGUUGUUUUUAGCAGGCUGCAUGCAAUAUGCCUUCAGUUUUUGGAUUGUGUCAAGAAUGAUACGAAUGAUAUGAUUUCCUCUGCUGACUGUAAGAUGAUGGAAGAAAAAUAGCACUUGGGCAUGGCACGACAGCUGAAGAAGUCACAUACUUGUGUUUUGUAGCACCACGACAUUUAAUUGUUGGUUCUCUUUAUUUGAUCAGAGGUUCAAUUUAACGGUUUCUUAAAGCUUUGCUUAAUUAAUUUUAUUGGGAGACGAUACCAAAACAUGAUACUUUAUCGUCUUCAUAAUUACAAUAUGCUGGAAUUGAGAGGAUGAUCAUAAAGUAAGAGAUUAAUGAUGUUUGGAAAUGAUUUAGGAACAACAUAUAGUGAGUUGAUUUUCUCCAUAGUACAUUGGAUUGUUCAGAAGUUGUUGACACCAAUACAAUAUGAAUGAUAAACUGUAAAUGCAGAAUGUUCGUAACAACUUUGAGCACGAGUUGUGCUAACAUUUUUUUAGUCCUACUAUAUGAUGAUUUGGUGACAUUGUCUAUAGUUUGCAUAUGCUAGAGUCAAUAGAAUUUAUGUCUCUGCUUACUUGAUCAUACCUCUCACUAAUAUAUCUACAUAACUUGAAUAAAUUGUUCCCUUACAAUUUAUGUGUUAUAUAUCUGAAUAAUAUUUAACAUACUUUAUUAUUUACGGAGAACAAAUCUACUUAUAUGUUGGGCCCGUGUUGCCUCUCUAGUGUGUGUAUAUAUAUAUAUAUAUGUGUGUAUAUAUAUGAAUCACUGCUUAUAUAUAUUUUUAAAAGCUCAAAAGUCAUGAUUUAAUCAUUUUUGUUUACAAUAAUAUAUUACAUGUUUGGACCUAAUAUCAAUAAAAUUUAAUUUGGUUUUAAUUUUAAUUACCCAAUGAAGUUGUGUUGUUCAAAUCUUGUAGAUUAGUUGAUUGUCUAAUCAUCUGACACACAAUAUUAUCUAUUUUAAAUCGUGUGUUUUUAAAAAAUAGUUUGUGAUAAUCAUCACAAUGUGAUUUUGAUAUAUAUAACUCAUAUCGUAAUAAUGUGUUUAGAGGACUCACGUGCGAAACACGUGUUCAUAACUAGUUUUUCGUAGGAAUAAACUCUUUAAAAGAUUUCUUUCAUAUGUCAUAUGAUUUGUACAACCAUUAUCAAUUAUCCAAAAAUCAAAUUUGGACAGUUGUUUCAUCUUUUUGAAAUUUUAUUUUUGCAAAUUACAACUUCAUGACCAAGUUGUUUGCAGAUGUUCCAUUGUGCAUCUGGUCUUUUCCAACAUUAAUAUGAAGGAUGUCAAUCUUUUCCGCAGUGCUGACAAGAUUUGGGCCGCGGUGGGAUUAUUUGGCAGCGGAUUGAUUUCAUAAUCCUCUUCCAUGGCUUCCAAAGAUCAAGAGCCUCCAAGAAUGUCCUCUAUCAAAUCUUUCUUGCAUUCGAUAUUUCACGAGAAAGACUUGGGACAGUUGAAAUACUUCUUGGAAAUAGAAGUAAGUAGGAAUAAGAAGGGAACAUUUUUAUCUCAAAGGAAGUAUAUCCUUGACCUUCAUGAGGAAACUGGUAAGUCAAUAGUCAAGCCUUGUACUACUCCAAUGGCUCCAAAUAUGCAGCUAACAAAAGAUGAUGGUGAUCCCUUCAAUGAUCCAGAGAGCUUUGGAGCAAAUAUUGUGUUACUUGAAAGGCGCCCCUAGACUUGGCAUAGUAUAUAGCAACAAUGGACAUACUCGCAUUGAGUGUUUUGUAGAUGCCGAUUGGGUUGGAUCCAAGAUUGAUAGAAGGCCUACUAUAGAUUAUUGUGACUAUUGUGUCUUUGUGGGUGGAAACUUGGUGUCAUGGAGAAGUAAGAAAGAAAAUGUUGUAUCUUGAUCCAGUGCAAAAUCCGAGUAUAGAGCUAUUACACAAUCCACAUGUGAGAUUAUGUGGAUACAUCACCUCUUAAGUGAAGUUGAGUCAAAGUAUCCCACACACGCGAAACUUUGGUGUGAUAAUCAAGUUGCUCUUCAUAUCACCUCAAAUCUAGUGUAUCAUGAAAUAACUAAGCACAUUGAGGUGGACUGUCAUUUUAUUCGUGAAAAGAUUCAAGAAAACCUUAUUUCCACGGGCUAUGUGAAGACUGGAGAGCAACUAGCUGCUUUAUUCAUAAAGGCAUUGAAUGGAGCUCGAGUUAACUAUUGUGUAACUAGGUGGGCAUGAUUAAUAUAUACAAUCCAGCUUGAGGGGAGUGUUACAGAAUAUUGUGAUAACUUGAAGAAAGAGUUAGGGUCACUUCUUUCCUUUUGUAUCCAGGUAUGUUGAAUUUUACAAACUGCGAUCCACCGUCUUCGGUAAAAAA